rnacentral:rRNA from 1 species
UAAAAUUCCCGACUUCUGGAAGGGAUGUAUUUAUUAGAUAAAAAACCAAUAUCGGGAAACCGAUUCCCUUGGUGAUUCAUAAUAACUUUUCGAAUCGUGCGACUCUAUGUUGACGAUGAAUCAUUCAAAUUUCUGCCCUAUCAACCUUCGAUGGUAGGAUAGAGGCCUACCAUGGUGGUAACGGGUAACGGGGUGUUAGGGCACUACACCGGAGAGGGAGCCUGAGAAACGGCUACCACAUCCAAGGAUGGCAGCAGGCGCGCAAAUUACCCAAUCCCGACACGGGGAGGUAGUGACAAUAAAUAACAAUACGGGGUUCUUUAGGAUCUCGUAAUUGGAAUGAGUACAAUUUAAAUCUCUUAACGAGGAACAAUUGGAGGGCAAGUCUGGUGCCAGCAGCCGCGGUAAUUCCAGCUCCAAUAGCGUAUAUUAAAGUUGUUGCAGUUAAAAAGCUCGUAGUCGAAUUUCGGGACCAAUCUGCCGGUCGUGCCUCCGGUACGCACUGGUUUUAUUGGUUUCUCCCUUCUGACGAACCAUGAUGUCAUUAAUUUGGUGUCAUGGGGAAUCAGGACUGUUACUUUGAAAAAAUUAGAGUGUUUAUAGCAGGCUCACGCUUGAAUACAUUAGCAUGGAAUAAUGAAAUAGGACGUUUGACCCUAUUUUGUUGGUUUCUAGGAUCGACGUAAUGAUUAAUAGGGAUAGUUGGGGGCAUUAGUAUUCAAUUGUCAGAGGUGAAAUUCUUGGAUUUAUUGAAGACUAACUACCGCGAAAGCAUUUGCCAAGGAUGUUUUCAUUAAUCAAGAACGAAAGUUAGGGGAUCGAAGACGAUCAGAUACCGUCGUAGUCUUAACCAUAAACUAUGCCGACUAGGGAUCGGAUGAUGUUAAUUUUUUAAUGACUCAUUCGGCGCCUUACGGGAAACCAAAGUGUUUGGGUUCCGGGGGGAGUAUGGUCGCAAGGCUGAAACUUAAAGGAAUUGACGGAAGGGCACCACCAGGGGUGGAGCCUGCGGCUUAAUUUGACUCAACACGGGGAAACUCACCAGGUCCAGACAUAGUAAGGAUUGACAGAUUGAGAGCUCUUUCUUGAUUCUAU